rnacentral:rRNA from 1 species
UACGGAGGGUGCAAGCGUUAUCCGGAUUCACUGGGUUUAAAGGGUGCGUAGGCGGGCAGGUAAGUCAGUGGUGAAAUCCCCGAGCUUAACUCGGGAACUGCCAUUGAUACUAUCUGUCUUGAAUAUUGUUGAGGUAAGCGGAAUAUGUCAUGUAGCGGUGAAAUGCUUAGAUAUGACAUAGAACACCUAUUGCGAAGGGAGCCUACUACGCAUAUAUUGACGCUGAGGCACGAAAGCGUGGGGAUCAAACAGG